UACAGAGGUCCCAAGCGUUGUUCGGAUUCACUGGGCGUAAAGGGUGCGUAGGCGGUCGGGUAAGUCUGAUGUGAAAUCUCCAAGCCUAACUUGGAAACUGCAUUGGAUACUAUCCGGCUCGAGGAAUGGAGGGGAGACUGGAAUACCUGGUGUAGCAGUGAAAUGCGUAGAUAUCAAGUGGAACACCAGUGGCGAAGGCGAGUCUCUGGACAUUUCCUGACGCUGAGGCACGAAAGCCAGGGGAGCAAACGGG
rnacentral:rRNA from 1 species